AUUGAACGCUGGCGGCGUGCCUAACACAUGCAAGUCGAGCGGUAACAGGCGUAGCAAUACGUGCUGACGAGCGGCGGACGGGUGAGUAAUGCUUGGGAAUCUUCCCGGUAGUGGGGAACAACCAACCGAAAGGUUGGCUAAUACCGCAUACGUUCUACGGAAGAAAGCGGGGACCGGUAAGGCCUCGCGCUAUCGGAUGAGCCCAACGUCGGAUUAGCUAGUUGGCGGGGUAAGUGGCCCACCAAGGCGACAAUCCGUAGCUGGUCUGAGAGGACGACCAGCCACACUGGGACUGAGACACGGCCCAGACUCCUACGGGAGGCAGCAGUGGGGAAUAUUGGACAAUGGGGGCGAACCCUGAUCCAGCGACGCCGCGUGUGUGAAGAAGGCCUGCGGGUUGUAAAGCACUUUUAGU
rnacentral:rRNA from 1 species